UGUUCUUGCUUUGCAGUGGCAGAGUUUACAGACCAGCCGAGUGAACUGAAAGGCUUCUCCGUUCACACUCGUCUGGUUAAGGGGUCACGGGGGUUCGGCUUCAAUAUAGUGGGAGGCAGCAGGCGGAGGGAAUUCCUGCAGAUCUACAGCAUCACUCCCGGAGGACCUUCCACCCUUCACAUAGCGGAUAUUCUGGUGUACAUCAAUGAUACCUGUGUGCUUGGCUUUUCUCACAAAGAGGUAGUGGAAAUGUUGAAAGCCAUUCCAGUGGGUCACACUGUGGACGUUGUUGUCCGAAGAGGCUACCCCAUGCUCUAUAACUCUGACGGCUGUCCGAAGAUGCCCAAUCCUAGGCUAACAGCAUCCCUAGACCAGUCACUAUAUCUACCUCCACCAACCACCACCCAACCCCAGGCCCAGGCUCCUCUCCCAUAUGCUCAGCUACACCUCAACCACAAUGGGCCCAUGUGGUCUGAUUUUGAGAGGGGAUCCUCAAGGAAUCUCAGAGUACGGGCAUCAAGGUUCAGUUUGGAUGCUAAUGGUAAUUCAUCUCCAUUUGCUUCUCCUUCAAGACAGCCAUCAUCAUACCAGUACUCUAACGGGUAUGGGAGUGGGUUCCUGAGACCACCACGCUCUGCCCGAAGCAUCAGGAGGUUACAGAGUGCAGAACUGGCCAGCCAGAGUGACAGCGAGGUGGUGUCUGCGAUUGGAUCCCAUAGGGCCUCGUUUAUCCGUAACCACAACAACAACUCUCUGUCCACUCCACCACCUCUCCGCCUGCACUCCUUCAAAUCUUCUGAGAGUGACCUUUCCUCGAGUACUCCACCACCCAUAUCUCGAUUGCCCCUGCCCCACACUGAAGUAAGUCCAGGCCCUAUCUCUUUCUCUCCUGGAGGAGGAAGGCGCUACUCUCAUCUCCGUAAACCCCAGCAUUCACUGCUAACCCCACCUAGCAGCGCCCAUUCUGACGGGCCUUACUUCACCUUCAACGGCACAGCCAGUGCCAGCAGCGGCAGCCCGAACAGCAGCAUUCCUUCACCUGGAGCCAUGAGCGCUGUGAUCGGGAGUGGAAUUGGAAGAAUGGAGGGUAGUGGGGAAUUAGUCCCCGUUGCUUUGGCUAAAUGUGAGAGGGGCAGCAAUAUGGGGUUCAGUGUCACGGCAGGAGGUCACGGAGGAAGACAGACCCUCGUGAAGAAAGUCUGGGACCACAGACAGUGUAUCGGACUGCAGCCUGGAGAUGCCAUUGUGAAGAUCAAUGGAGCAGAUGUACAGAGUCUCAGCUUUGCACAGGUCCAAAGGAUUUUGCAAGAACACACUAAAAAGGGGGAGGUUAUUCUGCUGGUUUACAGAGGGGGUACGUUAUAUAUGUUCACCCAUUCCAUAAUAC
rnacentral:lncRNA from 1 species